UCUGAAGAGCCACUCUACAGGAUUGAUGCUAUGAAUAUUCUUAUUUUAAUUAUGAUGAAACUGAUUAAUUAGAAAUCAAUAGUCGUCAAUGUCACAAUGCAUUGUCAAAGCCCAUGCAUUCUAUAACUAUCCUGUAUUGUCUCCCAAAAUGAAAUAGCGUUGAGAAGGGAAAACAUAUAUACAGAUUUGUACAAGAUUUUCUUUGUUUUAUUAUUGUCAUCCUAAGGUCCACACUUGGAGGCAUCAUUUCAGUAUUCCAGAGAACAGGGGCAAUACUGGCUCCUCUCCUGAUGACCUUACUGGGGUAUUCUCUCCAUCUGCCCUGGAUCAUCUAUGGAGUCAUCACCCUCCUUGCUGGCCUUAUUAUCUUGCCCCUUCCAGAAACCAGGAAUCAGCCUCUUGUUAACACCAUCCAGGAUGUGGAAAAUAAGUAAGCAGAUGCCCUGGUUGUCACCUGAGUAGGAAAUGGCUAUGUUCUAUAGAUCUCUGAUGAGGAAGCUAAUGACCAUUUUCAGCCAUCUGUCCUACACAUAGGCUCAGAUCUGAGCUAUUUCUGUUUAACCCCAUGUCUUUUGUACAGCGGCAGCUCUCUACCCACAAAGCUGUAUCUCUCCUCGUGGGAUUCUAGACACACAGACCAUCUUGCACCAGUCUUUAGCAGUGAAAAGGUCAAAAUUAGUCCUAUUGUGAAUGGCACAUACUUUUUGCCCUAUGGAAAGCACAGUGCUGGUGUUUUCUUGUAAAUAUAUGAAGCCUCAAAUACUUAAUUCUCAUACUUGUGGUAUUAUCAGGCAUGAGUCCAAUGAGUGCUCAAUAUAUUAUGGGGAGGAAAUUAGCUUCCGUAAAAGAUACAAAAUUGAUUACUGCUUCUAGUCAGAAAGGAUUGUGAGAUUAAUACAGAGCAACCUUACUUAUAAAGAUGACAUUAUAUCUAAAGGAAGUGGACCCUAUAAGAUUUAAUCCAAUUUAAUGCCAUAUAUAGUGAAAAUUUUAAGGAGAGAGAAAUUGAAGAAGUGGGAUGACAGAAUUUGAAAUGAGGAAAAAUGAAAAAAUGCCCUCAGAAAUUUUUAAUUUCUCUUUGUUUUUUCCCCAAAGAUGUCAUUGGUCAAAUGUCAAUUUGGUAAAUUGACAAGUGUAAGAGUAGCAAUACUCAACACUGUCUUCCCAGUGUAUCAUUCCCAGGUAUCAAGGCCUUUCCCAGCACAAUGGUGUCUAGGGAGUCUUGGAUUAGAAUGAUAUCAAGUAAAACUUGUUACAAAGUUCAUCAUCUAGCAUGGAUGAUAUGUGCACUUAUUCUACAUCUUUGCUUGUUUUUUUCUUCUUCUUCCCAGCACAAUAUAUUCAAGAAAAGUAAAGCAGGAAGAUACUUCCACAAAAGUAACACAGUUUUAAUGACUUCCCAAGAAUUGAUCCAAAGAAGAACAAAAUUAGGGGGAAAAAGUCAAGAUUCUUCUUUAUGCCAAUAAAACUAGUCAUAAAUAUAAUGGACAAACGGAUGCCACCUAAAAUCACUUUAUAUACAAACUUUCUCCAAAUAAUUUAUGAGUUUAUGUAAUCUCACCAAACAAUUGUUGGUUUGAAGGAAAACAUUGCAAAAAUAAUUUGAAGUUCAUCUUGAAAUUAAUAAUAGAAAAUGAAGCCUUGUUUCUAUGAUCCAGCAAUCCCAUUACUUGGUAUAUAUCCAAAAGAGAUUAUUUGUAUGCCAAGGAGAUACCUGCACUUCCAUGUUUAUUGUAGCACACCUCAGUGUCCUUCAAAGAAUGAAUAGUUUAAGAGAGUGUAAUAUAUUACAUGAAAUGUAACACUACUCAACCACAUAAAUGAAUAACAUUCUGACAUUUGAAAUAACAAAAAUGGACAGGGAGGACUUUAUUUUAAGGGAUGUAGGAAGUACAAACAGAAAAUGAUAAAUACAACAUAACUCACUCAUGUGUGAAACCUGAAAAUGUUGAUCUCAAAAUACAGUAGGAUGGUGAUCUCUAGAGACUAGGGCACUUGGAUGGGGGAGUGAAUGGAAGAUGAUCAAAAGAUUCAAAGUUACAAUUAGGUAAUAGAAGUAAGUAAAAGAGAUCUAUUGUGCAACAUAUUGACUAUAGUUAAUGACAUUAUAUUGUAUUAUUGAAAAAUGCUUAAAGGAUGGCUGAGUGCUAUCACCACAAAGAAAUGAUAACUGUGUGAGGUAAUUCAUGGGUUAAUAAGCUACAUUUAACCAUUACACAAUGCACAUGUACUGCAAAACAUCAUGUUGCACAAAAUAAAUACAUAUAAUUUUGUAUGUCACUUUGAAUAGGUAAAAUUUGAAAGCAAGAAAAGGAAUUGGAGUAACAAAGAGGUUGGCUCAUAUAUCAUGAAUCAUGUGCUACAUUUUAUCAAGUUACAGAGAUCCAAAGAGUAAAUG
rnacentral:lncRNA from 1 species